rnacentral:rRNA from 1 species
UUUUUCCAACGAUGAAACCAUCUCCUCGAUGAAGAACGCAGCUAGCUGCGAGAAUUAAUGUGAAUUGCAGGACACAUUGAUCAUCGACACUUCGAACGCACUUGCGGCCCCGGGUUCCUCCCGGGGCUACGCCUGUCUGAGCGUCG